GUUCAUGGUGGACAGGGUCCAGGUGUCCAGGCGGCGCAGGGCCGACCGGACGGUGGCGCGUACGGCGCCGAGUUCCAGGCGCGGCAUGGUCGC
rnacentral:tRNA from 1 species